rnacentral:rRNA from 1 species
UACAGAGGUCUCAAGCGUUGUUCGGAUUCAUUGGGCGUAAAGGGUGCGUAGGCGGCGCGGUAAGUCGGGUGUGAAAUCUUGGAGCUUAACUCCGAAACUGCAUUCGAUACUGCCGUGCUUGAGGACUGGAGAGGAGACUGGAAUUUACGGUGUAGCGGUGAAAUGCGUAGAUAUCGUAAGGAAGACCAGUGGCGAAGGCGGGUCUCUGGACAGUUCCUGACGCUGGAGGCACGAAGGCCCAGGGGGAGCAAAACGGGG